UAAAACCGUACCUAAACCAACACUGGUGGAUACGCUGAAUAAGCAAAGGCUAAGGCAGACCCUCGGGAAAGGAACUCGGCAAAAUACUAGCGUGACUUCGGAGGAAGCUAGACCAUUAACUGGUUACUAUUUAAAAACCGAAAAAGUGGUGUCACUAAAGAGAGGAUGGCAACUGUUUAUUAAAAACACAGGGCUCUGCUAUGUGAAAAACACGUUGUAUAGAGCCUGACGCCUGCCCGGUACUGGAAGAUAAGUGUUUUUUAUGAAAGUAAAAAAACAGAAGGACCAGUAAACGGCAGCCAUAACUCUGAUGGUUCUAAGGUAGCGAAAUUCCUUGCCAAAUAAUUGUUGGCCUGCAUGAAUGGCGUCAUGACUGUCCUGCUGUCUCUCCCGGGGCGCCAGCGAACUUGACAUUCUCGUGAAGAGGCGAGAUAUUUAGCACGGGACGAUGAGACCCCGUGCACCUUAACUUCAAACUGUUGUAGCUUUUCUUUUUUCAUAAGCUCAGCAUAGGUGGAACUUUUUUUUUUAAGAAAAGGCACUUGAGAUACCACCCUUAUGAAAGAAAAAAGCUUUAAAAAAAAAAUUUUUUUAUAAGGCAGUAUGGGAGUUUCUCUGGGGCGGAGGCCUCCAAAAAAGUAUCGGGGGCGCGCCAAGGUUAGGAAUCCCCCUUUUUGGGGUUCGAUUUUGUGGCAAUCCAUUAUCCUAGCCUGACUGUAAGGAAAACUUUCCGAACAGGUACGUAAGUAGGUGAUAGUGACCCAGUGUUUUGAUGUGGAAAAAACACUGAUCAUCGGAUCAAAGGUACGCCGGGGAUAACAGGUUCAUCGGCUCCUAGAGUCCCUAUCGACGAGCCGGAUUGACACCUCGAUGUCGACUCUUCGUGUCCUCUGGCUGCAGAAGGUCAGAAGGGUAGGACUGUUCGUCCUUUAAAACGGAACGUGAGUUGGGUUUAAUGCGUCGCGAGACAGUAUGGUUCCUAUCUGUGCUAAAAUAGACUAAUACAAAGACCCUCCAGUACGAGAGGACCGGUGGGGUCCCAACCCCUGGUUUACCGGUUAUUUUUUCUAAAGUAGCGCCGGGCAGCUAAGUUGGCAAUCAAAACCGCUGACAGCAUCUUAAGCGGAAAAGAUGAGUAGAAAUAGGUCUCUAUUUUCGUGGAAGUUUACCACGUUGAUCGGCAAUAAGUAUAAAAGUGUAAACUUUGGCUUGAUUGUACGAAAU
rnacentral:rRNA from 1 species